rfam:Drosophila simulans chromosome 3L, whole genome shotgun sequence.
GAAAGGGCUUUGUCGAAGACCGUUUUGCGUGUAUAAUAGUGCGCCGAUUGGUUCAAAACGAAGCCCAAAGCAAUUUUUGAUACGACGGUCUCUGAUUUGACAAAUCCCAGUUGAUUCAGUAACUUUUACGUGCAAUUACAAAA